rnacentral:rRNA from 1 species
GUUGUAUGGUUAAGUGACUAAGCGUACACGGUGGAUGCCUUGGCAGUCAGAGGCGAUGAAGGACGUAUUAACUUGCGAUAAGCCCAGAUUAGGCAGUAAAAGCCACUUGAGUCUGGGAUUUCCGAAUGGGGAAACCCACUAGCAUAAGCUAGUAUCAUUAACUGAAUACAUAGGUUAAUGAAGCGAACCGGGGGAACUGAAACAUCUAAGUACCCCGAGGAAGAGAAAUCAACCGAGAUUCCGGUAGUAGCGGCGAGCGAAACCGGAUUAGCCCUUAAGCUAGUUCUGCGUUAGGUGAAGGUUCUGGAAAGUUCCGCGAUACAGGGUGAUAGCCCCGUAACCAAAAACGCAUUAAUAGUGAAAUCGAGUAGGACGGGACACGUGAUAUCCUGUUUGAACAUGGGGGGACCAUCCUCCAAGGCUAAAUACUCCUGACUGACCGAUAGUGAACCAGUACCGUGAGGGAAAGGCGAAAAGAACCCCUGUGAGGGGAGUGAAAUAGAACCUGAAACCGUGUACGUACAAGCAGUAGGAGCCCACUUGUUGGGUGACUGCGUACCUUUUGUAUAAUGGGUCAGCGACUUAAUUUUAGUAGCAAGGUUAACCGUUUAGGGGAGCCGUAGGGAAACCGAGUCUUAACUGGGCGUCAUAGUUGCUAGGAUUAGACCCGAAACCGAGUGAUCUAGCCAUGGGCAGGUUGAAGGUGAGGUAACACUUACUGGAGGACCGAACCGACUAAUGUUGAAAAAUUAGCGGAUGACUUGUGGCUAGGGG